rnacentral:rRNA from 1 species
AUUGAACGCUGGCGGCAUGCUUUACACAUGCAAGUCGAACGGCAGCACGGGGGGCAACCCUGGUGGCGAGUGGCGAACGGGUGAGUAACACAUCGGAACGUGCCCAGUUGUGGGGGAUAACCUAUCGAAAGGUAGGCUAAUACCGCAUGAGCUCGGCAAGAGGAAAGCGGGGGACUCAGCGAUGGGCCUCGCGCGACUGGAGCGGCCGAUGUCCGAUUAGCUAGUGGUGGGGUAAAGGCUUACCAAGGCGACGAUCGGUAGCUGGUCUGAGAGGAUGAUCAGCCACACUGGGACUGAGACACGGCCCA